GCUUCAUUAGGGCUUAGUGAUAGGCUGAGAAACACUAUAUAUUGUCUGUGUAUUGAUGAGUGUGCUAGCGCUUACAGAGGCACUGAGAAGGCUUUUAACCCUGAGAUACGUUAAGAUGAAGACUUUCAGCAUGAAGAUUGCUGUUCUACUUGGAUUUGUGAUGCUUCUCUCUAUUGCUCUGGCUGAGCAUGACCAUGGCCAUCAGCAUAUCAUUGAGAAGCGCUCUUCAAGUGAAGAGCGUGGCCGUGGCCCUGGCCGUGGCUUUCCAAACUUUCUCCAGCAGUACAACUACUUUCUGCUUCUGCAAAGACUUGGUCUUUUCCCAGCCCCUGCAGCCCCGGCCCCUGCAGCACCUGCCCCUGCAGCACCGGCCCCAGCCCCAGCUCCAGCUCCAGCUCCAGCUGGUCGCUGAGAAAGGACAUGAAUCAGAACCUUCAACUCAACAAGAGCAAGCUGUGGUUGCUGAAGUGACCAGAACAUUAACUGACACUAAGUACUGCAAUAGCUGAUUUCCAUAUUUUGCUUGAGUUUCCCUUUAAUGUACUUGCUGUAUGUCUGUCUGCAAUGCAAUAAAGUGGAUUUGAAAUGGCAUA
rnacentral:lncRNA from 1 species